CAUCAAGUGUCUGAAACCCACUGGCAAAGUGACUCUCUUGUCAAGCAGCUUGGAGCUGAAGAGGAAGUCAGAGGAGAGGGGAAGUAGUGGCACUUGCUGAAGCCCUUGCUGUGCAACAAUUUGCUUCUGCUUCCAGCAGAAGAGGAAAAAACAACUAAUAGAGGACAUCAUCACAGCACUGACUAAUGCAGCAAGCAGCACAAGCCUCUGUCCUGCCAGUAUGGCUUAGCUCUAACAUGGAGCGCUUUGGGGGAACUCUCUCCCGAUGGAACACGGGUUUUCAUGGUGUCUCAAUGCAAAGCACAACAAGUUUUUGAUGUGGGAGCUGGAAUUGAGACCCUUCAAGCUCAUCUAAUACAGGCAGAAGUAAACAUCCAUCACAUGGGAGCAGCUUCCUGAUGAAUGAGGCUGGAUUCAAACUAGUGACCUACAAGCUGAAAGACUCUGUAGCUCAUUAGGCAACAUCA